rnacentral:rRNA from 1 species
UACGGAAGGCAGCAGUGGGGAAUAUUGCACAAUGGGCGAAAGCCUGAUGCAGCUAUGCCGCGUGUAUGAAGAAGGCCUUAGGGUUGUAAAGUACUUUCAUCGGGGAGGAAAAAACAAAACUAAUAAUUUUAUUUCUUGACGUUACCCGAAAAAGAAGCACCGGCUAACUCCGUGCCAGCAGCCGCGGUAAUACGGAGGGUGCUAGCGUUAAUCAGAAUUACUGGGCGUAAAGAGCACGUAGGUGGUUUUUUUAAAGUCAGAUGUGAAAUCCCUGGGCUUAACCUGGAACUGCAUUUUGAAACUGAAAUACUAGAGUAUCGUAGAGGGAGGUAGAAUUCUAGGUGUAGCGGUGAAAUGCGUAGAUAUCUGGAGGAAUACCUGUGGCGAAAGCGGCCUCCUAAACGAAUACUGACACUGAGGUGCGAAAGCGUGGGGAGCAAAC